rnacentral:lncRNA from 1 species
GUGAGCUGAGAUUGUGCCAUUGCACUCCACCUGGGCGACAGAGUGAGACUCUGUCAAAAAAAAUAAUAACGUAAACCUAGAAACAUAUGGAAAAUUGGAACCCUGUUCCAAUUGGAAAAGUGUUCAAAUAAGGAUAAGAAAAAAAUUAAAUCCACGCAGUUAACAUUUUUUAACUGGUUUUGGUAUAAUGAUUGUGACAUCUGGGUGUAUCUUUUCUGUUUCUUGAAGUGUUUAAAGCAUUUAAUAGAAUCUGACAGUUUAGGUUUGGAUAUAAUGAAACAUUAAGAUCUGUUUACAUCUGAAGUUAAUGUUUAAAAGAGUAGCCAUAUCUAAUUUUAGAAAUUCUUAAUUUUUUAUUUAUUAGUUGCAAAUGUCCAAAUAAGUAGAGGAAUGCUGACUGUUUAAAGAACGUCAAUUGUUUUCUGCAGUAAUCAUAGAAAGAAGAGAUCAUCCAGGAGUAUCCGUGCUUGAAAGCAGAUGGACAGGAGAAUAAGACAUAUCAGGGAAAAGUCUCUGAUCAGUGGUGGGAGACAGGGGAAUGAUUAAUUAGAGAAGGCUGGUCUAAGGCCAGGCCUUUAUAAAUCUCAUAUGCCAAUGACUUGAUUGUAAUGCCAGCUACUUGUUCAUUUAAAAAGUAUUUCUUGCUAUUUUUAUCUUUUGUUUAAAAUGAUAAAACUAAUACUUGCUGAUAGAAAUGUAUUCAAAUAAUGUGAGAAUGUGUAAAGAAAGA